UGAGAAACCAGACGGGACCACCUAGAGUCGGUCUCCUUCCCCCAAACGCCCUGGACCUACCAUGGGCACAAGCUGGGGCUCAGGGAAUACCUCUGUGCUCCACCACUCAGCAGCUGCUUUUCAAGAGAAGGAAAACACUACUACACGCCAUCCACAGCCACCGCACAAUACUGUAUCCCUUUGUCAGGGAUAAUAAAACAGACGGGAAGUCACUCUGGAACUUACUAUGGCCUUGGGUCAAAGGCAGGCUGACCGGGGCUGGCAGAAGAAAGCUAAAACUUACUUCUCUGGGAUUCUAGGAAUUUCAACAAAUGAGACCAACAGCAGAUAGUUUCAGAUUAAAGAAAGGCAAUGUGUUCCCAAACUUUGACCCCUGUGCACAGGCUCUGCAGAAAAGCUGUCACUUUGCACUCAGUUUCCUUAUAGGUAAAAUGGGGAUAAUAAUAUUGUCUGUCUGCCUAAUUUGUACAAGGCUCUUACAAGAGGGUAUAGCACAAAGUAAGUGCUUAAUAAAUGUGAGCUUUUCUUUGUAUUCCUGUUUCAUAGUAUUUGUAACUAUUUCACAAGAUUCAGAAACCUUGUCCCUGGACUGUGAUCAUCGCCUUUUCUUCAGUCUUCCAUUCACAGACCCAGCCUCUGGUGGGCAGUCACAACACAGCUGGCCAUGUCCAGAGAGGUCCAAAAACCUGCCCCAGGUGUCAAAGCAGCUAAGAAACAGGGCCGGGUGAGACUCUGCCUGACUCUUUCAUUCUGCCAAAUCUAAGCUAAGCAGUGAUUCCUAUGCCCACCUGGGAGGGGAGAAACCUGAGGCCCACCUUGUAAAUCCCUACAGGCUCAGUGUGCCUGGCAUUGGGAUGGGCAGAGGAGACAGAGGGAAUGCCAAAAAAAGAGCAGUUACAAAGGACAGACCACAGGUCCAGGAUGAGGGGACUUUCAACGGCUUGUUCGUGGUUCCGUUUUUGCCCAAACUCUCUCGAUCCACCUUUGAGCAACAGUAAUUAUCUCUUUGCCUCCAUCAACUCCAUUUACCAUCCCUGUCCAAUUCUUUCCCAAUAAGCCAGAGAAUAAGAGUGCAGACAUUAAAGGUCAGAUUUUCAUGGUGCUGAACCCAUUUAACCCAGCUGUGUGGCUUUGAGUAAGCUACCUAAGCUCUCUGAGCCUCCAUUUCCUCGUGUGCAAACCAAGGAAAAUACUCACCUACUUAUUAGAAGGAAAGAAAAGACUGAGUACCUGCCAUGUGACAGGCUUUCAACAAGGGACCACCUCUUGUCAUAAACAAGAGGCACAUGAACAAGUGACCACGGGUUUAACUUGUACACAGGUAUUAUGAAAACAACAAGUCUGCAUUUCAAUAAAUAUUUGUUAUAUAAAUGAACGGGACUGUUCCCAGAGCCUGCUGCUUGGAGGAAGCUAGGGAAUAAGGAACUCAAAAACAAGGUAAGAAUGUCAGAGCAGGGAAGGGAAGG
rnacentral:lncRNA from 10 species